rnacentral:rRNA from 1 species
AGGAUAAACGCUGGCGGCGUGCCUAACACAUGCAAGUCGAACGUCUCUUUCUUCGGGAAGAGGAGUGGCGGACGGGUGAGGAACACGUGGGAACCUGCCCUUCAGUGAGGAAUACCGGCGAGAAAUCGCCGACAAGACCGCAUAGCCCUCUCUGGUGAGAGCCAGAGAAGGAAAGCCUCGCAAGAGGCGCUGGAGGAGGGGCCUGCGUCCGAUUAGCUAGUUGGUGGGGUAAGAGCCUACCAAGGCGUCGAUCGGUAGCUGGUCUGAGAGGACGAUCAGCCACACUGGGAUUGAGAACGGCCCAGACUCCUACGGGGGGCAGCAGUGAGGAAUUUUCGGCAAUGGGGGAAACCCUGACCGAGCAACGCCGCGUGCAGGAAGACGGCCUUCGGGUUGUAAACUGCUUUUCUUUGGGACGAGCAAGGACGGUACCAGAGGAAUCAGCCCGGCUCACUACGUGCCAGCAGCCGC